rnacentral:tRNA from 1 species
GGUGAAUGUAGCUCAGCUGGUUAGAGCACCGGAUUGUGGUUCCGGGGGUCGUGGGUUCAAGUCCCAUCUUUCACCC